rnacentral:rRNA from 1 species
UAACUUCUGGAAACGGAUGCUAAAACCGGAUAGGUAGCAGACAAGCAUUUGACUGCUAUUAAAGUGGCUAAGGCCAUGAACAUGGAUGGACCUGCGGUGCAUUAGCUAGUUGGUGAGGUAACGGCCCACCAAGGCAACGAUCGGUAGCCGGACUGAGAGGUUGAACGGCCACAUUGGGACUGAGACACGGCCCAGACUCCUACGGGAGGCAGCAUG